rnacentral:rRNA from 1 species
GAUGAACGCUGGCGGCGUGCCUAAUACAUGCCAGUCGAGCGAACAGACGAGGAGCUUGCUCCUCUGACGUUAGCGGCGGACGGGUGAGUAACACGUGGAUAACCUACCUAUAAGACUGGGAUAACUUCGGGAAACCGGAGCUAAUACCGGAUAAUAUAUUGAACCGCAUGGUUCAAUAGUGAAAGACGGUUUUGCUGUCACUUAUAGAUGGAUCCGCGCCGCAUUAGCUAGUUGGUAAGGUAACGGCUUACCAAGGCAACGAUGCGUAGCCGACCUGAGAGGGUGAUCGGCCACACUGGAACUGAGACACGGUCCAGACUCCUACGGGAGGCAGCAGUAGGGAAUCUUCCGCAAUGGGCGAAACCCUGACGGAGCAACGCCGCGUGAGUGAUGAAGGUCUUCGGAUCGUAAAACUCUGUUAUUAGGGAAGAACAAAUGUGUAAGUAACUAUGCACGUCUUGACGGUACCUAAUCAGAAAGCCACGGCUAACUACGUG